GGGCCCGUAGCGCAGUCAGGAUAGCGCAGCAGCCUCCUAAGCUGUUGGUCACGGGUUCAAAUCCCGUCGGGCCCGCCA
rnacentral:tRNA from 1 species